rnacentral:rRNA from 1 species
UACGUAGGGCGCAAGCGUUUAUCCGGAAUUAUUGGGCGUAAAGAGCUCGUAGGCGGUUUGUCGCGUCUGCCGUGAAAGUCCGGGGCUCAACUCCGGAUCUGCGGUGGGUACGGGCAGACUAGAGUGAUGUAGGGGAGACUGGAAUUCCUGGUGUAGCGGUGAAAUGCGCAGAUAUCAGGAGGAACACCGGUGGCGAAGGCGGGUCUCUGGGCCGAUACUGACGCUGAGGAGCGAAAGCGUGGGGAGCAAACAGG